rnacentral:rRNA from 1 species
UACGAAGGGGGCUAGCGUUGCUCGGAAUCACUGGGCGUAAAGGGCGCGUAGGCGGCUGUCCAAGUCAGGUGUGAAAGCCCGGGGCUCAACCCCGGAAAUGCACUUGAGACUGGGCGGCUUGAGGACGAGAGAGGAUAGUGGAAUUCCCAGUGUAGAGGUGAAAUUCGUAGAUAUUGGGGAAGAACACCGGUGGCGAAGGCGGCUAUCUGGACCGUUUCUGACGCUGAGGCGCGAAAGCGUGGGGAGCAAACAGG